GGCUAAACCCCCCUGAACGCACCCCAUCUUGUCUGAUCUUGGAAUCUAAGCAGGCUUGGACCUGGUUAGUACUGGGAUGAAGAAUUAAUACCUAACCUAAUGGCAGCU
ensembl:rRNA 5S_rRNA 5S ribosomal RNA